rnacentral:lncRNA from 1 species
GAUUUAUCGGUUUUGAAAGAUGUUCCAUCUUUAUUGUCAUUGGCAAAUGAAAAACUGCCUUUGAAUUAUAAAUUGCCAAAGGAAUGUGUUUAUCUGCCGGGCUUCCACCUUCACUCGAAUUUCAAGUUGCACACGGAUGCAAGGAGGCAGAUUCGCCAUUUUAUGAAAAGCCAGAAAGCAAAAGACGCAGACUGAUUGCUGUUCCACAUUGACUAUAAGUAUAUCACGAACGGUUUUUAUAACAGCUUAUAUAAUUAAUUCUAGGUUUCGUUUUGGAUACAUCCAAAACCAUUUUCAUAAUCACUUACAGAAAAUUGGUCGAUUAGUCUCCAUAUUCUUAUCAAAUUGGUUUUGGACACACCCAAACAAUUUUCGUAAACUGUGAAACCGCCAAAUUUAUUUGCAUUUGUCUAGGAUUGGUUUUGGAUGCAUCCAAAACCAUUUUCAUUGGCGCUAAAAUCUGUAAAAUGAUUUCCAUUUUCCAAUAGGAUUGGUUUUGGACGCAUCCAAAACCAUUCUCAUGAGCUAUAAAUUGGCUAGUUUGUUUGCAUCUGUCUAGGAUUGGUUUUGGAUGCAUCCAAAACCCUUUUCAUGAGCUAUAAAUUGGCUCAUUUGUUUGCAUUUGUCUAGGGAUUGGUUUUGGAUGCAUCCAAAACCAAUCCCUGGACAAAUGCAGGAAAAUUAGCCAAUAUAUAUGUAGCUCAUGAGAAUGGUUUUGGAUGUAUCCAAAACCAAUCAUAUAAGAAAAUGGAAAUCAAUUUACUGAUUUUAGCGGUAAUGAAAUUGGUUUUGGAUGCGUCCAAAACCAAUCCCUAGACAAAUGCAAACAAAUUAGCCAAUUUAUAGCUCAUGAGGAUGGUUCUGGAUGCGUCCAAAACCGAUCCAAAAGAAAAUGGACAUCAAUUUACCGAUUUAAAAUGGUUUGGGAUGCAUCCAAGAGAUUGGUUUUGGACGCAUCCAAAACCAUUUCCAUAAGCGCUAAAAUCGGCUGAUUUGUCUGGGGAUUUUUUGCUAAAAUCAGCGAAUUGGUUUCCAUUUCUCCAGGAUAGUUUUGGACAUAUUGGUCAAUUGAUUUGCAUUUUCCUGCAGGGUUGGUUUUGGACGCGUCCGAAACCAUUCUCAUGAGCUAUAAAUUAGCUAAUUUGUUUGCAUUUGUCUAGGGAUUGGUUUUAGAUGCAUCCAAAACCAUUUUCAUUAGCGCUAAAAUUGGUGAAUUGAUUUGCAUUUUCCUGCAGGGUUGGUUUUGGACGCAUCCAAAACCAUUCUCAUGAGCUUUAAAUUGGCUAAUUUGUUCGCCUUUGUCUAGAGAUUGGUUUUGGAUGCAUCUAAAACCAUUUCCAAAUGCACUAAAAUCGGCUGAUUUGUCUGGGGAUUUUUUGCUAAAAUCAGCGAAUUGGUUUGCAUUUCUCCAGGAUGGUUUUGCACAUAUUGGUCAAUUGAUUUGCAUUUUCUCGCAGGGUUGGUUUUGGACGCGUCCAAAACCAUUCUCAUGAGCUAUAAAUUGGCUAAUUUGUUUGCAUUUGUCUAGGGAUUGGUUUUAGAUGCAUCAAAAACCAUUUUCAUUAGCGCUAAAAUUGGUGAAUUGAUUUGCAUUUCCUGCAGGGUUGGUUUUGGACGCAUCCAAAACCAUUUUCAUGAGCUUUAAAUUGGCUAAUUUGUUCGCCUUUGUCUAGAGAUUGGUUUUGGAUGCAUCUAAAACCAUUUCCAAAUACACUAAAAUCGGCUGAUUUGUCUGGGGAUUUUUUGCUAAAAUCAGCGAAUGGGUUUGCAUUUCUCCAGGAUAGUUUUGGACAUAUUGGUCAAUUGAUUUGUAUUUUCUCGCAGGGUUGGUUUUGGACGCGUCCAAAACCAUUCUCAUGAGCUAUAAAUUGGCUAAUUUGUUUGCAUUUGUCUAGGGAUUGGUUUUAGAUGCAUCCAAAACCAUUUUCAUUAGCGCUAAAAUUGGUGAAUUGAUUUGCAUUUUCCUGCAGGGUUGGCUUUGGACGCAUCCAAAACCAUUUUCAUGAGCUUUAAAUUGGCUAAUUUGUUCGCCUUUGUCUAGAGAUUGGUUUUGGAUGCAUCUAAAACCAUUUCCAAAUGCACUAAAAUCGGCUGAUUUGUCUGGGGAUUUUUUGCUAAAAUCAGCGAAUUGGUUUGCAUUUCUCCAGGAUAGUUUUGGACAUAUUGGUCAAUUGAUUUGCAUUUUCUCGCAGGGUUGGUUUUGGACGCGUCCAAAACCAUUUUCAUGAGCUUUAAAUUGGCUAAUUUGUUCGCCUUUGUCUAGAGACUGGUUUUGGAUGCAUCUAAAACCAUUUCCAAAUGCACUAAAAUCGGCUGAUUUGUCUGGGGAUUUUUUGCUAAAAUCAGCGAAUUGGUUUGCAUUUCUCCAGGAUAGUUUUGGACAUAUUGGUCAAUUGAUUUGCAUUUUCUCGCAGGGUUGGUUUUGGACGCGUCCAAAACCAUUCUCAUGAGCUAUAAAUUGGCUAAUUUGUUUGCAUUUGUCUAGGGAUUGGUUUUAGAUGCAUCAAAAACCAUUUUCAUUAGCGCUAAAAUUGGUGAAUUGAUUUGCAUUUCCUGCAGGGUUGGUUUUGGACGCAUCCAAAACCAUUUUCAUGAGCUUUAAAUUGGCUAAUUUGUUCGCCUUUGUCUAGAGAUUGGUUUUGGAUGCAUCUAAAACCAUUUCCAAAUGCACUAAAAUCGGCUGAUUUGUCUGGGGAUUUUUUGCUAAAAUCAGCGAAUUGGUUUCCAUUUCUCCAG